rnacentral:rRNA from 1 species
ACAUGCAGUCGAGCGGAUGAGAGGAGCUUGCUCCUGGAUUCAGCGGCGGACGGGUGAGUAAUGCCUAGGAAUCUGCCUGGUAGUGGGGGACAACGUUUCGAAAGGAACGCUAAUACCGCAUACGUCCUACGGGAGAAAGCAGGGGACCUUCGGGCCUUGCGCUAUCAGAUGAGCCUAGGUCGGAUUAGCUAGUUGGUGAGGUAAUGGCUCACCAAGGCGACGAUCCGUAACUGGUCUGAGAGGAUGAUCAGUCACACUGGAACUGAGACACGGUCCAGACUCCUACGGGAGGCAGCAGUGGGGAAUAUUGGACAAUGGGCGAAAGCCUGAUCCAGCCAUGCCGCGUGUGUGAAGAAGGUCUUCGGAUUGUAAAGCACUUUAAGUUGGGAGGAAGGGUUGUAGAUUAAUACUCUGCAAUUUUGACGUUACCGACAGAAUAAGCACCGGCUAACUCUGUGCCAGCAGCCGCGGUAAUACAG